rnacentral:rRNA from 1 species
GACGAACGCUGGCGGCGUGGAUUAGGCAUGCAAGUCGGACGGUAGAGCUUUAUCGUAAGAUAGAGUUUGAGAGUGGCGAACGGGUGAGUAACACGUAGGAAUCUACCCUUAAGACGGGGACAACCCAGGGAAACUUGGGCUAAUACCGGAUGAGAGUGCGAGAGAUUGCAUUUAAAAGGAUGGCGAAAGUUGUCGCUUAGGGAUGAGCCUGCGGUCUAUUAGUUAGUUGGUGAGGUAAGAGCUCACCAAGGCGAUGAUAGAUAGGCGGCCUUAACGGGUGGUCGCCCACACUGGGAUUGAGAUACGGCCCAGACUCCUACGGGAGGCAGCAGUCGAGAAUAGUCUACAAUGGCCGGAAGGCUGAUAGUGCGACGCCGCGUGAACGAGGGAGCCCUUCGGGUGUAAAGUUCUUUUCUAUACGAGCAGUGCUAUAUAUAUGGAUAGUAUAUAUAGAGGGAUAGUAGUAUAGGAACUAAGCAACGGCUAACUCCGUGCCAGCAGCC